AACAACGACAAAAGAAAAACCCAAAAGGCUCUUCCAACUCAAGGAUUAAUAUGAAUAAAAUCCGCAGAACUAAAAAACCCAGUGGCAGUGGGUAAUUCGCUCUUCCCGAUUAUUUAUGUUUGCCCAAAACCCACCUUUCCGUUCACUCCACAAAAUGACACUAUUAAAAUCCUUAACAAAAUUCCUUCCCAAUACGACACCGUUUCCACUCCCAAAACCACCAUCAAUACUCCUCCUCCGAAAACAAUUCCAAACCCUCAAAACGACACCGUUUUCACCAAACCAUCAUCCAUUAUUUCGUUACAAUCACACAACACCACAAAUAGCAGUUUCAUGUUUAAGCAGUGGGAAAGAAUAUGUAUCAAUGUCUGACGAUAAAUUGUUGAGUCAAUGCGAAAUGGAUACAUAUAAAUCAUCAGGUCCAGGUGGUCAACACCGAAAUAAACGCGAAUCCGCUGUUCGGAUUAAACAUCUUCCUACUGGCAUUGUCGCUCAGGCAUCCGAGGAUAGAUCCCAGCACAAAAAUCGUGCAUCUGCUAUAGCUCGAUUGCGAAGUCUUUUAGCUCUUAAAGUCAGGAACGCUAUAGAUCUUGAAACAUACUCGCCUCCUCCCGAGCUUCUUCAAGUUCUUCCACCAAAGUCAACUAUAAGAGGAUCAGAAUGUGGACCUCAAAUCGGGCCGAAUAACCCGAAAUUCGCUUUGGGAAUGCAAGCUUUAUUAGAUCUAAUUUUCGCUGUAGAAGGUUCUGUAGCUGAUGCUGCAAAGAAAUUGGGUGAAUUGGACAGGUUGGAUAAAGCAUACAGUCAUUUUUAUGGAAGGGUUGCUUCACCUGUAACACUCCAGAUCCAAAUAUUUGUAGAUAAGUUCUGUCAAAGUAUCGCUAAAAGUAUAAAUAAAGUGGUUUUGGCUGUAUACAUUAAAAAUACACGUCCAGGGGAGUGGAGUAGAAAUGAGCAUAUGACCCUAAAACCCGAAACCCGGCCCAGGCCUGUCCACCUCGAACCAACCUGCCCGGGACUGGGUCACGGGUUUAAUUUUGUUGCUCCACUGGGUUUCGGGCGGGUUUUUACAAGUGAAGAACAAAUGUCCCUUAAAGCCAAGAACCCAACCCGAACUUGACUCGAACUGACCCGUUCGAAGGAGUAACGGGCCGGGUCACAGGUUUGAUUUUGUUGCUUUUCCGGGUCACGGGUUUGCACGGUUUGGACCGGGUUUUGACACGUGCUCAUGCCUAUUGUGGAGUGGGGAGGGAUUAAUAAUUCAAUCUACUCAAUUCACAAACCGAGUGGGGAGGGAUUAAUAAUUCAUUUUACUCAAUUUAACCAUCUUUCCAGCCAAACUAUUCAGUUUGAAAUAUAACUCAUGUCAGUUGAAAUUGCCACCACUUUUGAAGAUCAAGUUAAUAGAGUUUCAGAUGUUACAUCUGUUAUCUUGUUUUCUCAUAUAUGAAGCACUCGUCAAUCUUAACAGUAUCUGCUGGUCAUUGCAGGCUAAGCACGGGAGCUCUUUCACGUCUGAUUUUAUCUGAUGAUUCUCUUCGCCAGGCAGUCAAUGAGUUCCGUGCAUCCAAGGGUAUGAAGCCCCUCAAG